UUUGUAUAGUUUAUUAAUACUGUUUACUGUUUAAUUUUUAAUAAUUAUUAGUUUUAAAAGAGUUUAAAAGUUAGGCUAUUAGGUUUACAAGGGCAAUAAAUAAAAAGAGAUUAUGGGCAUUAAAUGUUAUUUUCUCAUUAUAGCACAAAAAACACAAUUAUACGCGCUUUCAAAUGAUACUAAAACUGACUGAUUAAAUAUAAAUUGGAUGUUCUAAAGUCGAACUCGUUGUUGCCUUGAAGAUUUGAAAUUGUCGACGAUGGAUUUCGAAUGUGUUUUAUAUAAAAACUUCUAAUUUACGUACCAAAGAAUCUUUCCAGAACAUUAAUUAUUUCAUUUAAAAUUUAAAUAGAUAAUAGUUUAAAAUU